rnacentral:rRNA from 2 species
GGUUAAGCGACUAAGCGUACACGGUGGAUGCCUAGGCAAUCAGAGGCGAUGAAGGACGUGCUAAUCUGCGAUAAGCGUCGGUAAGGUGAUAUGAACCGUUAUACCCGACGAUUUCCGAAUGGGGAAACCCAGUGCAAUUCGUUGCACUAUCGUUUGAUGAAUACAUAGUCAAACGAAGCGAACCGGGGGAACUGAAACAUCUCAGUACCCCGAGGAAAAGAAAUCAACCGAGAUUCCCCUAGUAGCGGCGAGCGAACGGGGAGCAGCCCAGAGUCUUAAUCAGCAUUAGUAUCAGGAGAACGGUCUGGAAAGUCCGGCAGUAAAGGGUGAUAGCCCCGUAUCUGAAGAUAUUAGUGUUGUGAACUCGACGAGUAGGGCGGGACACGUGUUAUCCUGUCUGAAUAUGGGGGGACCAUCCUCCAAGGCUAAAUACUCCUGAUUGACCGAUAGUGAACCAGUACCGUGAGGGAAAGGCGAAAAGAACCCCGGCGAGGGGAGUGAAAUAGAACCUGAAACCGUGUACGUACAAGCAGUGGGAGCCUUGAUUUAUCAGGGUGACUGCGUACCUUUUGUAUAAUGGGUCAGCGACUUAUAUUCUGUAGCAAGGUUAACCGUAUAGGGGAGCCGUAGGGAAACCGAGUCUUAACUGGGCGAAUGAGUUGCAGGGUAUAGACCCGAAACCCGGUGAUCUAGCCAUGGGCAGGUUGAAGGUUGGGUAACACUAACUGGAGGACCGAACCGACUAAUGUUGAAAAAUUAGCGGAUGACUUGUGGCUGGGGGUGAAAGGCCAAUCAAACCGGGAGAUAGCUGGUUCUCCCCGAAAGCUAUUUAGGUAGCGCCUCGUGAACUCAUCUUCGGGGGUAGAGCACUGUUUCGACUAGGGGGUCAUCCCGACUUACCAACUCGAUGCAAACUACGAAUACCGAAGAAUGUUAUCACGGGAGACACACGGCGGGUGCUAACGUUCGUCGUGAAGAGGGAAACAACCCAGACCGCCAGCUAAGGUCCCAAAGUCAUAGUUAAGUGGGAAACGAAGUGGGAAGGCUCAGACAGCCAGGAUGUUGGCUUAGAAGCAGCCAUCAUUUAAAGAAAGCGUAAUAGCUCACUGGUCGAGUCGGCCUGCGCGGAAGAUGUAACGGGGCUAAACUAUGCACCGAAGCUGCGGCAGCGAUAUGUAAAUAUUGUUGGGUAGGGGAGCGUUCUGUAAGCCUGUGAAGGUGUACUGUGAGGUAUGCUGGAGGUAUCAGAAGUGCGAAUGCUGACAUAAGUAACGAUAAUGCGGGUGAAAAACCCGCACGCCGGAAGACCAAGGGUUCCUGUCCAACGUUAAUCGGGGCAGGGUGAGUCGACCCCUAAGGCGAGGCAGAAAUGCGUAGUCGAUGGGAAACGGGUUAAUAUUCCCGUACUGGUGAUAAUUGCGAUGGGGGGACGGAGAAGGCUAGGCUGGCCGGGCGACGGUUGUCCCGGUUUAAGGAUGUAGGCAGGUGAAUUAGGCAAAUCCGGUUCACUA